rnacentral:ribozyme from 1 species
GGGGUGUGUGAGUGACUUACCUCCACGCGGUGCACCCUGGGCAACGUAUUCUUAUACGGCAAAAAAGUCUAU